GACGAACGCUGGCGGCGUGCUUAACACAUGCAAGUCGAACGGAAAGGCCCUGCUUUUGUGGGGUGCUCGAGUGGCGAACGGGUGAGUAACACGUGAGUAACCUGCUCUUGACUUUGGGAUAACUUCAGGAAACUGGGGCUAAUCCCGGAUAGGAGCUCCUGCUGCAUGGUGGGGGUUGGAACGUUUCGGCGGUUGGGGAUGGACUCGCGGCUUAUCAGCUUGUUGGUGGGGUAGUGGCUUACCCAGGCUUUGACGGGUAGCCGGCCUGAGAGGGUGACCGGCCACAUUGGGACUGAGAUACGGCCCAGACUCCUACGGGAGACAGCAGGGGGGAAUAUUGCACAAUGGGCGGAAGCCUGAUGCAGCAACGCCGCGUGCGUGAUGACGGCCUUCGGGGUGUAAACCGCUGUCGCCUGUGACGAAGCGGGAGUGACGGUAAUGGGUAAAGAAGCACCGGCUAACUACGUG
rnacentral:rRNA from 1 species